AUCAGUUUAGAAAAAAAAAAAAAGAGGGAAUAGGGAGUUACUGUUUAACAUGUACAGAGUUUUAGUACAGGAUGAUGAAAAACCCUGGAGAUGUAUAGUGGCGAUGAUCAAUGUGAAUGUACUCAAUGCCUCUGAACUGUACACUUAACCAUGCUUAAAAUGGUACUUUUUAUGUUAUGUAUAUUUUACCACAAUAAAAAUCAAUUAAAAAAAAAACCAAAGGGAAGCAGGGGAAAGGAGAGAAAUAAGAGAGAAAGAAAAAAAGUGGGUACAAAAAUAGUCCUUACAUAUUGCCUUGUUGUGAGGAUUAAACUAUCUGAAUUGUGUGAAGCACUAAUAUGGCACUCAUUAGCGUGUAUUCAGUUGAUGUUUGCUAUUGUUAUUAUUGCCUUAGCUCUAAUUACACAAUUAAAGUAAUGAAAGUGAUGCUUAAAACUUCUCACAUAACCUAGGAUUGUAAACCAUUCUAAAUGCUUUCCAAUCUAUUAUAGUUUCCUCUAGAGGGACAUUAUCAUGUGCUGAGCUUUAUUAGGCAACAAAACAUUGCUGAAGGGUACACCAGAGACAACUUGAUGAACGAGAUACAAAGCUAGCGUAAUGUGACAAGUGCA
rnacentral:lncRNA from 1 species